GCAAAGUUACAUAAAAAGAUUCAAACGUUAGGAGAAGCACAACGCAUUUGCACGUUGAAGAGACAGCAUGUGCCCCUCAAGACAAUGGAGGGGCAAAAUGCUUUUAUCAGUUUUACUAGCGAUAUGUUCAGCAACACUUAUUAAUAGCGCUCCAACAAAAGAAGUAGCACCAGUUGCAUGUGUUAUACCACCACCAG